GCCUUCGUGGUGUAGCGGUCAGCACGCUCGACGCGUAACCGAGAUGUCGGUGGUUCCAUUCCCGGCGAAGGCG
rfam:Stegodyphus mimosarum contig84974, whole genome shotgun sequence.